GAAGCAAUAGAAACGCAAUAAAUAGAGCUAAGUUGAAGAUGCUUCAUCAUAUUAGUAGCAAGCCAAUUAGAGAGAUUAUUUAUCAAAAGGGCGAAAAAGAUGGCAAUCCACCAGAUUUGGCAACUAUCUUUUAAGAGACUCGCAAGAAGAAUAACACACUUGUUGAUUCUGAAACAAUCGAGAAGCAUGCUCAAAUUCAAGAAUUGGUGGAGUCUGAACCAUCACUUUCUAGCAUAGAAAUUGUUGAGAAAUGCUUUGGACCUCAAAGUCGUAGUCAUGUAUUUGGCUUUG